GAGUUUGAUCGUGGCUCAGAUUGAACGCUGGCGGCAUGCCUUACACAUGCAAGUCGAACGGCAGCAUGAUCUAGCUUGCUAGAUUGAUGGCGAGUGGCGAACGGGUGAGUAAUACAUCGGAACGUGCCCUGUAGUGGGGGAUAACUAGUCGAAAGAUUAGCUAAUACCGCAUACGGCCUGAGGGUGAAAGUGGGGGACCGCAAGGCCUCAUGCUAUAGGAGCGGCCGAUGUCUGAUUAGCUAGUUGGUGGGGUAAAGGCCCACCAAGGCGACGAUCAGUAGCUGGUCUGAGAGGACGAUCAGCCACACUGGGACUGAGACACGGCCCAGACUCCUACGGGAGGCAGCAGUGGGGAAUUUUGGACAAUGGGCGAAAGCCUGAUCCAGCAAUGCCGCGUGUGUGAAGAAGGCCUCGGUGUAAG
rnacentral:rRNA from 1 species